rnacentral:rRNA from 1 species
AUGGAGGAUCUGUACAGCAUCCACCCGGGGAUCUCGCGCGGCGGCGAGGGCGGCGCGGCCUGCAGCGAGGCGUCGGGGGUCGCCGGCGGGGCCAGCUCUCCUCCCCCGCCUCCGCCGCCUGCGGAUCUGACGGAGCUGAUGAAGGCGCAGAUCGCCGGGCACCCCCGCUACCCCUCCCUCCUCUCCGCGUACAUCGAAUGCCGCAAGGUGGGCGCACCGCCGGAGGUGGCCGCGCUGUUGGAGGAGAUCGGACAGCCGGAGAGGCGCGGCGGAGGCGCCACAGCCACCGGGGAGAUUGGCCUCGACCCCGAGCUCGACGAGUUCAUGGAGGCCUACUGCCGGCUGCUGUCGCGGUACAAGGAGGAGCUGUCCCGGCCGUUGGACGAGGCCGCCUCCUUCCUCACCACCAUCCGCUCGCAGCUCACUAAUCUCUGCGGCGGCGGAGCCACCGCCACCUCGCCGCACUCCGAUGAAAUGGUGGGGUCGUCGGAGGACGAGCCGUGCUCGGGGGACGUCGACGGAUCCGACGCCGGCAUGCAAGAGCACAGCUCCCGGCUGGCUGACCACGAGCUCAAGGAGAUGCUGCUCAAGAAGUACAGCGGCUGCCUCAGCCGCCUCCGGUCCGAGUUCCUGAAGAAGAGGAAGAAAGGGAAGCUGCCCAAGGAUGCUCGGCUUGCUCUCAUGGACUGGUGGAACACACACUACCGCUGGCCUUACCCCACGGAAGAGGACAAGGUGCGGCUCGCCGCGAUGACGGGCCUGGACCCGAAGCAGAUCAACAACUGGUUCAUCAACCAGAGGAAGCGGCAUUGGAAGCCGUCGGAGGACAUGCGGUUCGCGCUCAUGGAGGGCGUCACCGGAGGAGGUGGAUCCUCUUCCGGCACGACACUCUACUUCGACACGGGCACGAUCGGGCCAUGA